rnacentral:rRNA from 1 species
UGUCCCAGCCGCCGCGGUAAUACUGAGGGUGCAAGCGUUAAUCGGAAUUACUGGGCGUAAAGCGUGCGCAGGCGGUUUUGUAAGACAGUGGUGAAAUCCCCGGGCUCAACCUGGGAACUGCCAUUGUGACUGCAAGGCUGGAGUGCGGCAGAGGGGGAUGGAAUUCCGCGUGUAGCAGUGAAAUGCGUAGAUAUGCGGAGGAACACCGAUGGCGAAGGCAAUCCCCUGGGCCUGCACUGACGCUCAUGCACGAAAGCGUGGGGAGCAAACAGGAUUAGAUACCCUGGUAGUCCACGCCGUAAACGAUGUCUACUAGCUGUUCGUGUCCUUGUGACGUGAGUAGCGCAGCUAACGCAUUAAGUAGACCGCCUGGGGAGUACGGUCGCAAGAUUAAAACUCAAAUGAAUUGACGGGGGCCCGCACAAGCGGUGGAGCAUGUGGUUUAAUUCGACGCAACGCGAAGAACCUUACCUACUCUUUGACAUCCAGAGAAGACUGCAGAGAUGCGGUUGUGCCUUCGGGAACUCUGAGACAGGUGCUGCAUGGCUG